GACGAACGCUGGCGGCGUGCUUAACACAUGCAAGUCGAACGGAAAUGCCCUGCUUUUGUGGGGUGCUCGAGUGGCUAACGGGUGAGUAACACGUGAGUAACCUGCCCUUGACUUUGGUAUAACUUCAGGAAACUGGGGCUAAUACCGGAUAGGAGCUCCUGCUGCAUGGUGGGGGUUGGAAAGUUUCGGCGGUUGGGGAUGGACUCGCGGCUUAUCAGCUUGUUGGUGGGGUAGUGGCUUACCAAGGCUUUGACGGGUAGCCGGCCUGAGAGGGUGACCGGAAAAAUUGGGAAUGAGAUACGGCCAAGAAUACAACGGGAGGCAGCAGUGGGGAAUAUUGCACAAUGGGCGGAAGCCUGAUGCAGCAACGCCGCGUGCGGGAUGACGGCCUUCGGGUUGUAAACCGCUUUCGCAUGUGACGAAGCGUGAGUGACGGUAAUGGGUAAAGAAGCACCGGCUAACUACGUG
rnacentral:rRNA from 1 species